UACGGAGGGGGGCUAGCGUUGUUCGGAAUUACUGGGCGUAAAGCGCACGUAGGCGGCUUUUGUAAGUUAGAGGUGAAAGCUUGAUGCUCAACAUCAGAAUUGCCUUUAAGACUGCAUUGCUUGAACGUCGGAGAGGUGAGUGGAAUUCCGAGUGUAGAGGUGAAAUUCGUAGAUAUUCGGAAGAACACCAGUGGCGAAGGCGGCUCACUGGACGACUGUUGACGCUGAGGUGCGAAAGCGUGGGGAGCAAACAGG
rnacentral:rRNA from 1 species